rnacentral:rRNA from 2 species
AACGCCGCGUGAGUGACGAAGGCCUUCGGGUCGUAAAACUCUGUUAUCAGGGAAGAACAAGCGUCGGUUAACUGMCGGUGCCUUGACGGUAGCAGACCAGAAAGCCACGGCUAACUACGUGCCAGCAGCCGCGGUAAUACGUAGGUGGCAAGCGUUGUCCGGAAUUAUUGGGCGUAAAGCGCGCGCAGGCGGCUUCUUAAGUCUGAUGUGAAAGCCCACGCUCAACAGUGGAGGGUCAUUGGAAACUGGGAGGCUUGAGUGCAGAAGAGAAGAGCGGAAUUCCACGUGUAGCGGUGAAAUGCGUAGAGAUGUGGAGGAACACCAGUGGCGAAGGCGGCUCUUUGGUCUGUAACUGACGCUGAGGCGCGAAAGCGUGGGGAGCGAACAGGAUUAGAUACCCUCGUAGUCCACGCCGUAAACGAUGAGUGCUAAGUGUUAGGCGGUUUCCGCCCCUUAGUGCUGCAGCAAACGCAUUAAGCACUCCGCCUGGGGAGUACGGCCGCAAGGCUGAAACUCAAAGGAAUUGACGGGGGCCCGCACAAGCGGUGGAGCAUGUGGUUUAAUUCGAAGCAACGCGAACAACCUUACCAGGUCUUGACAUCCCGCUGACCGGUGCAGAGAUGUGCCUUUCCCAUCGGGGACAGCGGUG